rnacentral:tRNA from 1 species
CAGAGAGUAGUUUAAUAAAAAUUUAGGUUUUGGAAAUCUGAGAUGCUUUUCAAGUCUUUCUGA